CAAUUUCAUAACUUUCUAUAUUUGUAAGUACCAAAUUAAUAAACUUCAUAAACUCAAAUUCAUUGUCUCAUUUGAAACUUCACACUUCAAUCAAACUGUAAUUCCAACCAUUAAAAUAAACAAAAAGAAUCUAUAUCCAACAUCACUAACCAAGCCAAAAUCAGACAUUUGCAGCAGUCAAAAACUUCAAAUUUCAACAAUAAAAUUGAUGGCCCGUUAAAUAUUCCUCUAAUACAAAAUGAAAAUCCAAAUAAAUAGUUCCACAAAUGUAACAUUUCCAUAUAUACACACGCACAAAGGAAAUGAAAGUGCCAGGGAGAGCAGGUAUAUCAAAAGAGACAACCGGCUUGUAGGACUUCUCUACUUCUUCAAGGCAAAAGCUCCCUGCGAUUUAUAAAUAACUGAGAUAUCAAAAUCUAGGGAUGUCAAGAAACUAAAAACAGAAAAUAGUUCUUGUGCAGAUGGAGACCAUUCUUUUAAUUCCAAAAAAAGCUAAGAGUUAUA
rnacentral:lncRNA from 1 species